rnacentral:lncRNA from 1 species
CCGCAGUUCUGAAAACUCAGGCGAUGUUGCCGCCCCAAGGCCGACGCUGCUGCGCCUGAAAACGCCGCCGCUGCCGCGCUUCCGCUCUGGUGGAGUUAUCGAUCGCCGGAGAUCUGGAGAUCUGGAGUGCUUGAAAUGGCGGCGGCGGCUCCUGCGUCCUCAUCGCCUUCACCUUCUCCUACGGCCUUUUUCUCGCCGCCAGCUCCUCCUUCGUCGAUUACCUCUCCUUCACCGUCCGUCUCCGCGCCUCCAACAGCUGGUGGCGCUCCAUUGACUUCAGUAAAUCCGGCAGGUCGACUUGUUAUUUGGAUUUUGUGAUGUGAAGCUGGCAUAGUUUUUUCGAUUUUAUUGUGAAUAAUUGUUUUUGUGUUUGUUGUGUGCAUAUGAUUGUCCGGUGUGAUUCUUUGAAGAAAUUGAUGAGCUUGUAACUUUUGAGUGGUUUAUUUAUGAAAAGCGGAGUAGAGCAUUUGCCAAAAUACAUAAAAAUGUGAAUCAAUGUUUGAGGCUGUUGUGAGUUGAGUUGGUUGUCCAAUCUCAAAUCUGGAUUCCAGUAUCUCCUUGGGAGUGCUGUCUGCUGCUGCCUUGAUAAGGUGAAAGAAGAAG